UUCCGUCCCAUGUGUUCGCUGGAUCGUAGCUCGACGUGGUCGAGGGCAUAGGUGGAGCUCCGUACGCCGGUGACGCAGCUGGUUCCAUCGACAUUCCUGCAACAGGACCAUGAGCUGCCGUUUCCCAGUGUGGUGGGUGCUCUACUGGUGGGUGUCCGUAGUGCACGACUUCGUAGGCGACCUUGGGUUUCGUCAGCUUGAAGAUCAUCAUCGCUCCACUGAGCACCAUCGAGAGGAGACCCAGGGUGAGAGCUUUCCAGGUCUUCAGAGCAAUCAAGGCAAGAGCGAGCGGCACCAGAGCGGUAGCUUUGAACUUCAGACCCAGCAGGAACGGAAUCAUAACCUUCUUAACGAAUCCACGGCCUAUAAAUAUUAUCCAGAUAAGUGUAUCAGGUCAGUUGUAUUUUAUUUCUUCCUCUUUAUAAAACAAAUUUUGUUACCUUGACCGUUUGAGGAGUCAGACAAAGGAACAGUCAAGCUUCUGGGCAUGGUAUCCACUAAGGCUCUCGGUACAAUAUUGGAGCCAACGAUAGCCUCAGGCAGCUUAGCCUCCAGCUGGUGACUCGACAGGAUCUACUGAGUCGUACUGCGGAGGGUAGUAUUCUUCAUUGCUUUCUUCGGCCAUGUUUCGAGAUUUAACUAUUGCUAAGUCGUCCGUAAUGGCUAGUCUGUCUUCUUUCACAGCUUGGCUAAGAGCGUCAGCUGUUGUUUCAAUCCUCUGCGCAGCGGUGAGGGCGGCCAGAAGGGCGACAGACGAGACGAUCGUUGUGAACUUCAUGACGGUAC